UCAGCCGUAGCUUUAGUAGGUCAGAGCACCGGGCCGUUAGCCCGGAGGAUGCGGUUCGAUUCCGCACAGCUGGCCCU
rnacentral:tRNA from 1 species